AUUAAACGCUGGCGGCAUGCCUUACACAUGCAAGUCGAACGGCAGCACGGGGGCAACCUGGUGGCGAGUGGCGAACGGGUGAGUAAUACAUCGGAACGUGCCCAAUCGUGGGGGAUAACGUAGCGAAAGUUACGCUAAUACCGCAUACGAUCUACGGAUGAAAGCGGGGGAUCGCAAGACCUCGCGCGAAUGGAGCGGCCGAUGUCAGAUUAGGUAGUUGGUGGGGUAAAGGCUCACCAAGCCAACGAUCUGUAGCUGGUCUGAGAGGACGACCAGCCACACUGGAACUGAGACACGGUCCAGACUCCUACGGGAGGCAGCAGUGGGGAAUUUUGGACAAUGGGCGCAAGCCUGAUCCAGCCAUUCCGCGUGCAGGAUGAAGGCCUUCGGGUUGUAAACGUGCUUUU
rnacentral:rRNA from 1 species